GAUGAACGCUGGCGGCGUGCCUAAUACAUGCAAGUCGAGCGAACAGACGAGGAGCUUGCUCCUCUGACGUUAGCGGCGGACGGGUGAGUAACACGUGGAUAACCUACCUAUAAGACUGGGAUAACUUCGGGAAACCGGAGCUAAUACCGGAUAAUAUAUUGAACCGCAUGGUUCAAUAGUGAAAGACGGUUUUGCUGUCACUUAUAGAUGGAUCCGCGCCGCAUUAGCUAGUUGGUAAGGUAACGGCUUACCAAGGCAACGAUGCGUAGCCGACCUGAGAGGGUGAUCGGCCACACGGGAACUGAGACACGGUCCAGACUCCUACGGGAGGCAGCAGUAGGGAAUCUUCCGCAAUGGGCGAAAGCCUGACGGAGCAACGCCGCGUGAGUGAUGAAGGUCUUCGGAUCGUAAAACGCUGUUAUUAGGGAAGAACAAAUGUGUAAGUAACGAUGCACGUCUGGACGGUACCUAAUCAGAAAGCCACGGCUAACUACGU
rnacentral:rRNA from 1 species